rnacentral:rRNA from 1 species
AUUGAACGCUGGCGGCAUGCUUUACACAUGCAAGUCGAACGGCAGCGGUGUAUUUCUUGCACUACUGCCGGCGAGUGGCGAACGGGUGAGUAAUAUAUCGGAACGUACCGAGUAAUUGGGGAUAACCAAUCGCACGAUUUGCUAAUACCGCAUACGUCCUGAUGUAGAAAGCUGUUGAUCGCCAGACCUCUCGUUUUUCGAUCUGCCGAUUACUGAUUAGCUUGUUGGUGGGGUAAAGGCCUACCAAGGCGACGAUCAGUAUCGGGUCUGAGAGGACGAUACGCCACACUGGGACUGAGACACGGCCCAGACGACUACGGGAGGCAGCAGUGGGGAAUGUUGGACAAUGGGGGCAACACUGAUCCAGCAAUGACGCGUGUAUGAAGAAGGACUGCGGGUUGUAAAGUACUUUUGUUAGGGAAGAAAAGGGAAGUGCUAAUACCACUUUUUGAUGACGGUACCUAAAGAAUAAGCACCGGCUAACUACGUG